rnacentral:rRNA from 1 species
GAUUAACGCUGGCGGCGUGCCUUAUGCAUGCAAGUCGAACGAGUCUUAACUUCGGGUUGGAUAGUGGCGAACGGGUGAGUAACGCGUAGGUGACCUACCUUAAGGCGGGGGACAACCCCGAGAAAUCGGGGGCUAAUACCGCGUAUGCUCUCGAGUCAAAUUGAGAGUGAAAGUUCUUCGGGACGCCUUUUGGAGGGGCCUGCGUUCGAUUAGCUGGUUGGUGGGUAAUGGCCUACCAAGGCUGAGAUCGAUAGCUGGUCUGAGAGGAUGAUCAGCCACACGUGGGACUGAGACACCGGCCCAGACUCCGUACGGGAGGCAGCAGCAAGGAAUCUUGCACAUGGGGGAAACCCUGAUGCAGCAACGCCGCGUGAGUGAAGAAGGCUUCCGGGUCGUAAAGCUCUUUUAUUAGGGACGAGUAAGGACGGUACCUAAUGAAUAAGCCACGGCUAACUACGUG